CACAGAGAAAUUUCGUAACAUCGCCCGCUAUUCCACUGCACUUACCCGGUAAUCUGUGAGAAGUUUGUACUUGCAAACAGCACAGAUCCGUCUAAAUCUAACUCCAAGACAUAAAUGUUGUCUAUUCCGUGAUUUACUUUGUUAUCCUCGUUGGAAUUGCGUUCUUGCAUUACCAUUAACUUUAUAACUCCAUUCAGAUUUUGAUCCUAAUGUGCGACAAGUAAAACCAUUCGAAUACAAUUAGCGUUUCGUUAUUUCAUAAAACCCAAUCUAUCGACUAAAAAAACAUAGACAAUACGGUAACCAAUUGAUAUUCUAAUCAAACACCCAAUUUAUGAACGUGGGUGGCUCUUGAUGACUGUGUCAAUAUUUAUAUGAGUGAGCAGUGCGUAGAGGCUAAUCAUUGUUACCCUGGGACGAUUGAUACCUGUGCUUACUUAUCCCUUGAUCAGGAUUC